UACGAAGGGUGCUAGCGUUACUCGGAUUUACUGGGCGUAAAGCGUGUUAAGGUGGCUAGAUAAGUUAGGUGUGAAAGCCUGCGGCUCAACCGCAGAACUGCACUUAAAACUGUUUAGCUUGAGUAUAGUAGAGGAUAGUGGAAUUCUUGGUGUAGAGGUGAAAUUCGCAGAUACCAAGAGGAACACCAGUGGCGAAGGCGACUAUCUGGGCUAUUACUGACACUAAUACACGAAAGCGUGGGGAGCAAACAGG
rnacentral:rRNA from 1 species